AAAGCUACUCGUAUGCUGGUAGAGAAAAUAAAGCGCGUCAUUCAUGCACUCCAACAAACGAACAAACGAGUUCGGAUUGUGAAUUGAGUGGAACGGCUGUCCAGCAGCAUCCAAGAAGAAGGAGAAGAAACAGGGGUUGUUGAGCGGUCGCUACGCACGCGCCCAAGCCUCUGAGGACAACAGCACCCGGUACGUUUCGCUUCCAGCAGCUCGAGUGUGCUUUCUUUGACUCAGUGCCACGAUUCGUGACCAGAAGAUGCGGAUCGCUAUGGAAUCAGUGUCGUUUCUACGUCGGUAGUCCUUAGCAAACACGAUGAGUUGGAUGAAUGGCUGAGUACGAGUGGGCUUGGGGACUGAAGCGCGCUUCGCUGCCGAGGUCGGUUGACGUGAAACGAGCGCUUUCAACGCGAGCACGAACAUCAUAUAAAAACCCGAGCUGGGGUUUCUGAAUGUUGACGCAACCGCUUGCACACGUGCGAUCGUGACUAUUCGAGUGUUGCUUGCUCGCUUGCUUGCUUAUUUAACGCGUCUGGGGAAGCAUGCGCACUAUACUGCACAGCGAGUGACAGCGACGCAAAGCUGAACCAAGUUUAAGGGUACGCAAAAGUUGCUAUCGUUCAGGAUGCCCAAGUAGCCCCAUACCCGUCAACUACGAUAGCGAGUCGGGUGCUGGUACCGUGACCGGGUGGUCUGCGAGCCGGAACGCUGCCGCAGUCUUCUUUUUGACGGGUAAAAAGGCGUAGAGGAUAUCGUCCGGAUAACGAGAGGCCUGUUGCACUCGAAUGCGCAAAUGUUCCAGAUGAUCGGGAAGCGAGUCGAGUGUCGGUGCAACGCUGGGGCCGGCACUACUGCCGGUGCUGGUGCUGCUGCUGAUGCUGCUGCUGCUGCUGCUGGCUGAGUGAUCGACCAGACAUGCCAGCUGCUCGCGAUAGUGUUGGUGCAGUAGCCAUAGCUUCUUUCCAAAGCGCGCACUGUGCGGAGUCUCGGCAGCCGGGUCGCUCGGCAGGAAUCCGCCGCCCUCGGGAGAGCUUUGCUUCGGCUGGAACGAGAGCCAGCUUCCCCUGGCUAGUGGGGACGCUCGCGGUGCAGCGAUUUGCAUCGACGAUGAACUGGAGUAGGUAUCUCCGGGUGUCGCAUCUGUCGGUGCGCAGGUGACAUAGAUAUUGCCCAGCAAAGAAGCCGACAAGCUCGCGGGCAAGGGGAUUCUCAGGUGGACCGGAUUCCCAGCGUUCGAAUCACUCUCCGAUGCCGAUGCUAAAUGUCCACGGGUAGCUCCGCGCUUACUGCCAGGUAGCUCGACGGAAGCACUAUUCGGAUGCUCCGGUGCUGCCGCUGCGGAACCCGCAGAUGCGACCGUAGGCGAGCGCUCCGACUGACGCGUUGGCGACGACGGGCGCUCGUGCGACUCGAUUCUCUCAUUGCUCGAUGUAGUCUCCGUUUCUUCCCAGUGAUGCGUCACGAGACCCUGACCUGGGGAAGGCGCUCCUGGGUUACGUCCCACGCGCGCUGGUCCACGUGCACGCUUCGCUUCGUGUUCAGAACGCGCUGACUUCCUGGGACUCACUGGGGCACGCUCCACAUGGACGCCAGUCGUUGCUGUUGUCAUGGCGGUGCUUGAGUCGGUUGCGCUACCGCAACCGCUAGUGCCGCGGUUGCCUUCACCGGGGCUCCGCUCCACAUGGACGUUGUGUUGCUCGGCCUCGCGACGGCGCCGACGUUCUUCCUCCGCCUCCAUGCGCUGGAAUUGCUGUAAGAUAUGCUGCAGUUUCCGCUCCUCCCGGCUAAGACUUCCGCCAGGCGACUGUGGAAACAACAAAGAUGGUGUCUGCGGGUCUGUCCGUGACUGCACCGGAGGGCUCAACGCCGGUGUGGUCGUCUUCGGCGCUGUGUGGCGCGAGCGUCUCGGGGAGUUGUGCUCCGUUUCCAGCAGCGCACUCGUCUCUGUUUUUCCACUGCCGCUGUCGAUAUCAUCGGGUUUCUUGCCGUCGACGGAGGACCAUACUGCUGGUCUUCCAUCAUCCGCGCAAUGGUUUGUCAUCGACGACACGUCAGUGCUCUCUGACGUGCGUUGCAUAACCGAUGCAGCGCUGGUGUUCGUUUCCGGCUUGUCGUGAUCAUUCGCAGCGAAUGAACCGGCUGGCGCUGUGGCGGCACUAGCCCCGCUACGACCACUUGUGCUCUUGCUGUCCGUACUGUUUGCUUUCUCUGUCGCCGGUCGCUUUCCCCGAGAGCUUUUCUUCUUCUUUGACGGUUCGGUCGCACUGCUUACGUAAAUAACGCAUUGCUGACGAACAAGAUCCGGGCGACACAAUUCGCAGAAAUACUGAUCAGGCGCAUCUGCCGCGCGGCGAAUACCCAUGCAUUUUCCGUGCUGCCAGACACCGCAAGACUCGCAGGCCAGCAUAAA